rnacentral:rRNA from 1 species
AGCAGCCGCGGUAAUUCCAGCUCCAAUAGCGUAUAUUAAAGUUGUUGCAGUUAAAAAGCUCGUAGUUGAAUUUCGGGGUCUGUCCGUCGGUCGGGCUUCACGGUCCGUACUGGUGUGAUGGGUUCCUACCUUCUGAAUAACCGGCAUGCCAUUCAGUUGGUGCGCCGGGGAAGCAGAGCUAUUACCUUGAAAAAUUAGAGUGCUUAAAGCAGGCUAGUGCUUGAAUAGAUUAGCAUGGAAUAAUAAAAUAGGACGGCAUGGUUCUAUUUUGUUGGUUUCUAGGAUCACCGUAAUGAUUAAUAGGGAUAGUUGGGGGCAUUAGUAUUCAAUUGUCAGAGGUGAAAUUCUUGGAUUUAUUGAAGACUAACUUCUGCGAAAGCAUUUGCCAAGGAUGUUUUCAUUAAUCAAGAACGAAAGUUAGGGGAUCGAAGACGAUCAGAUACCGUCGUAGUCUUAACCAUAAACUAUGCCG